GAUGGACGCUAGCUACAGGCUUAACACAUGCAAGUCGAGGGGCAGCAUUUCAGUUUGCUUGCAAACUGGAGAUGGCGACCGGCGCACGGGUGAGUAACACGUAUCCAACCUGCCGAUAACUCGGGGAUAGCCUUUCGAAAGAAAGAUUAAUACCCGAUGGUAUAAUUAGACCGCAUGGUCUUGUUAUUAAAGAAUUUCGGUUAUCGAUGGGGAUGCGUUCCAUUAGGCAGUUGGUGAGGUAACGGCUCACCAAACCUUCGAUGGAUAGGGGGUUCUGAGAGGAAGGUCCCCCCACAUUGGGAACUGAGACACGGUCCAAACUCCUACGGGAGGCAGCAGUGAGGAAUAUUGGGUCAAGUGGGCGCAGGGCCUGAACCAGCCAAGUAGCGUGAAGGAUGACUGCCCUA
rnacentral:rRNA from 1 species